GGCCAUCUGAGAAACUGUGUUCAUUUCCCGUGGAAAGGCUGUUGGAGCCAGCUGUCUGCUCCGAAUUUCAGUGCCUGCCGGGAAGCCAAUGUACAUUUGUCCACCUUCCAGGCUUUAAACUGAGAGGGCACACUGAGGCUGGCAUGCCAAAGUAUCUCCCAAAAUCUCUGUGUCCUAAGGAAUAUCUGAGAAGUUACUAAUCAGGGACACUCUUUCUUCCUGGAUCCCAAGCAAAACCGGAAGAAAUCGGAGAAAGCAUUGCCUCCAACAGUUGUGGUGUAAAGCAAGAAAGUGCGUGUUUUCCUUGAAGAAUCCUGACUCUUAGAAGGUGUGAAUUUGGGGGCCGUGGUCAGAAUCACACAACCUGCUCCCUGAGGAUGGCAGCGCUCCCUUCGGCCACUCCAGGUGCUGAUGUGACUGUCCCUCCAGGUAGGGGAGGGAAGGAGGCUUGGAGAUGUUAAAGACCCAUCACCUGCAAGAGACUUGAUCAAACAGCUGCCAAUAGGGCCAUCGCAGAUAGAAAAAAAAAAAUCUCAAAUCAUCUGCCAGAGUCAUCAGAAUCUCGAACCAUCCGCCAGAGGUCCACAGACAGCUAUGCCCCUAGAGAGCCUGUGGGUCGCAAGAGUGAUCAGAGCCAAGCUGCAGGUGUCCAGCCUCAGAGGAAAAGCCUGGAGCACACGCAGCCGGCCUGCCAGUAGAAAAGAUACGGGGCUGGCAUUUCUCUCUGCGUCCCUGAGCAAGGUCCAGGAAGCCCAGUUCACCCGACCACAGGCCACACAGAGCCCCUGCCAGUCCCAAGGGUCCAUAGCAGCCUGAUGCAGCCACCAUAAGCCCAGAGCAGCUGGCAGCAGCUGGCAGGGAGGGGAAGGGAAUGGGGGCGGCAUCGCCCCCUGUUACAGAUGUCUCAGCAAUCAAGUCUGGUGAUGGGCAAGCGAUGACGGUUGAACACCUGGCUGUGCUAUGGCUUUGCUAUGGCUUUACAAACCUGUCACAGGCACUGAAAGCACAAUCACAUGUUGGGUGGAGGGUGGAUAACUGGCUGCAAAUGCAUCUCUUCAUCAUGGCAAGAUAGGGGGAGUCAGGCCAUGCAUGGUCCCUGACAUUUGGAAGAGUUAACUUGGACCGAGGUCUUCAGUAACAAAAUACCAUCACAUACAAAGACUGAAGGGUGACAGGUGGCCCCAUUAGGAAAGAAUUCACAAAGCUUCAUUUCUAAUCAUCACUUAGAGACCGAAAUAUAAUGAUCUCUUUUAUUCCAUCAAGUACGAGUUGUCGUCGUCUUGCUAUAAGAAGAAUGAGCCUCCGCCCUUUGGAAAUUCAGCAUGAACUUCUCCUUUUCACAUACUGUUUGGUAUAGUUUUCACAUGUUAAUUGUCCAAUAAGCAACUUCCUGAACAAAGAUCCUUUUCCCUCCCACGCAUCGACGCUGGCGCUGGGUCUCUGCAUGAAUGCAAUUCGAAGCAUGUUGUCUAUUACCUGAUAAGCCUAAGACAAAAUUAACAUAAAAGAGAAGGAGGCUAUUUAACUCUUCCUGUCUUACGGAUCAAAUACAUCUAAGAUGGAAAAAGAGGAUCAUCACAGAAUGCACUGGAAGAGAAUAAAAUCUUCAAGUAGUAUUCUUUUUUUGGGGGGGUCUUUUAGUGCCACAUUCGAGGCGUAUGGAAGUUCCCAGGCUAGGGGGCGGAAGUCGAAUCAGA